rnacentral:rRNA from 1 species
AACCUCUGCAAUAGGCGAAAGCUUGACAGGGUUACUCUGAGUGAUUUCCGUUAAGGAGAUCUUUUGGCACCUCUAAAAAUGGUGCAGAAUAAGGGGUGGGCAAGUCUGGUGUCAGCCGCCGCGGUAAUACCAGCACCCCGAGUGGUCGGGACGUUUAUUGGGCCUAAAGCAUCCGUAGCCGGUUCUACAAGUCUUCCGUUAAAUCCAACUGCUUAACAGGUGGGCUGCGGAAGAUACUAUAGAGCUAGGAGGCGGGAGAGGCAAGCGGUACUCGAUGGGUAGGGGUAAAAUCCGUUGAUCCAUUGAAGACCACCAGUGGCGAAGGCGGCUUGCCAGAACGCGCUCGACGGUGAGGGAUGAAAGCUGGGGGAGCAAACCGGA